rnacentral:snRNA from 14 species
UUACUUGCCUGGCAGGGGAGAUGCUCUUCUUCUUGGCCUUGAAUGACUUGGUGUAGUUAGAGGAUGAAGGCCUGUCCCUUGCACUGCAGGCAGGCUGACCUCUGUAAGAGUCUACAAAACACCUCCAAAUGUGAUGAUCUUGGCUACACAAUUUAUGGUGGUGGGGGAUUGCUCUCGGGCUUUCCCUCU